CCCAUCACUAUUCAUUCAAAUAAAAAUCAAUCAUAAAAAAACGAAAUUGUACGGCAGAAUCCGGUUAAAAAUGUACUGAAAGCAGGUACAUAAAAUGCAUUCAUUUCAUGCCCAUCCGUUACAGUUGAAGUAGCUGUUGUCAAUAUUUUGUCAACCCAUUCUACAAUGGAUUUUACUUUACUACCAUCGGACUCAUUUCUGACAUAAUCGCAGAGAUCGUCAACCGGCCGGAGAUGUUCACUGUCUGUGGUAGUGUCGGAUCCAAACUUUCUCAUGGCGAUACCUGUUUUUGACAUUAAAGUUUCAAGAUUGUUUCUGAUUUCUAGGACACUGUUUGUGGAUGAAACUUCUUAAUCAGUCUUGUUGUGCUUGCUUGAAAUUUUUACAGUGGAAUCCAAGUAUUUUUGACCUGCAACUGCAAAUGUGUAAGUCAACAAUUUCUUGAAAUAUUCCACGUCUGAUGCUUGUAUCAUGAGUGCAGCACAUCUGAGGAAAAAUUGUUUAACUUCAAUGUGUGCAAUGGCUCUCCAGCAUUUCCAGUUCGAAACAGCAUGUAGUAUACGUGCAACAUCAACACGUAGUGACGUCUCGUUAAAUUCCCUGCACAUUCCAUAGAGAAGAGCUUUUGAAUAAUCGCAUAUCGCUAUUUUUGGUUUUGGGGCACCCGUUCGUAUGAAAAGAUGAAUCCACGUCAUUAUCGAAUGUCCAUCAUGCCUUUCCGACAGCAUCUGAUGAACUGUAUUCCUUAUAUGCGUGAAGCUGAGAUGGAGUGCGAUAAACGACUAUAAAAGGAAAUGAUCCGAUGAGUUCAAUUUUUCCCAUGAAUUCUGGCUGCUCUGAUAUGGCUUCAAUCGAAGCAUUGAGAUCUUUUUUUUUCAGUGAGUCAAGUCCCAAAUUUUUGUCAACACCCUGCUUUUUUGCUUGACGCAGCACUGUUAUAUUUGGAAGGUACGGCGGCUCGUUAUCUCCAAGAACCAUCUCUUCGCGCGCCUUGCGUUUGCGAAAAUUUGAUGAACCCUCAUGUAUCAAAUUUUUUUGAACAUCUUCUCUAUAUUUCCCAUUCAGUGGACACUUCACAACCUCAUGGGUAGCAUCAUUCCGCGUAUCUCGGGUUAAAAAUUCGAGCUUAACACUGUUGUCAUCGGCUGGUUUCUCUUUGAUGUAAGCUUUGAUCUUAUUUCUACACGAUUUUGAUUUACAUCGACCCCAAAUUGUGACAAAAUUAGUCAUACAGCUUGUAGCUUUUGAAACCUUGGAACGUUUAAAAACGUAUGCACAUGGGAUUUUCGUUUGACGUGAAAUAGCAAUCGGUAUGACAUUAUUCCAGACUCCUUUCUGCAGCGUAGGUUUUUGACUUCCAAAAGGGAGAACUGAAAUGAUUAAUCAAUAUUGAAUUAUUGUAAUGACAAUAUUUUUGUAUUAUGACUUAAUUUCAAUCUGACAUUGCAAUCUCAUUGAUACAUAUUCAAGUAUUUUUUUUUUCUCUUCCAGAUUUUAUUCUGGGUGAAAAUUUCUAAAAUAUUAGUGCUAUUGCCUAGAAAUUCAAGAUUCAAAAUUUGAAAACCCUAAAAUGAAAACGCGCUGUCUGUGAAACUUAUUUUGUUACGAGUUCAUUAUACUUCACAAUUUUUAUUAUACACUAAGUUAAAUUUCAACAAAAAGGCGCCUAAAAUACGGAAUUUCCUAUAAAUUGGUAUAUAAAGAAAAUUAUUUAAAAUAUUUCACGUAAUGAAACAUGGUUUAAUCAUUUAGUCAAAUAUCAUCUGCCAUAUAUAAGUGAAAUUUUGGUUCAAUAACAUUUAUCAUGCCUAUUUGAAAAGUUCUUGCGCUUUCCAGUUGACAUUUAUAAAUAAAUUUUACUUUUAGAAAAGUUACAAUUGUCAGAUCUCAAAAAAUAAAACAUCUUCAAAACAUUAAAAAAUUUUGUAAAAUUUAGUAUUAUCAUAAUAUCAUAUUCCCUUAACUGAAAGGAAAAAUGUUCAAUACGUACUCUUUGGAGGACUUAUUGCAUCCCAUUCUUCAUUUGAGAGCUGCACUGUGAAUAAUUGUUGACCUUUUUCCGGUGCAUUUCUCUGAUCGACGUACGACUCGUCGUCGCAUCCGGACGUUGUAGAUUCGCUUGCACUCGUGGCAGAUUUUGUGUCCGUUUCAUCUUUGGGCAAUGGAAUAUUAAUACCUUUUUCCUUUCGUGCAAGAGAGAGGAUAUUCCGGCGAUCCUGAACUACGUUGUUAUAAACGUUAUGUGAUUUCCACCUGUUAUUAAGAUCUUUACUAAUUUCUUCCCAUACUUUGUCCGAAUACUUCGGCAGUUCCGAUGUAUUAAAGUAAGAAAUAAACUUCUUUAAACUUUGCACGGCUUCUUCCACAGGCACAAGAACCUCUCGUGGCAUUACGAAUUAAAAAUACACUACGCGCGUAUAAAAACAGAAACUUUUGAUGAACACCAUGGAUUAAAAAGAGUUUAAAAACAUGAGCACCGGACAAUCAUGAAUUCGAAACACCAAAAAAAUAUGAUAGGAAAUAAGAAAAUUAUUGUUGAAUACGGGAAGCAACACGAAAAAAAAACUAAAAAUAAAAAAGUAGAACGAAAUAGAAACAACUAUCGAUGCUCACGGUUUCGCGCGUGGAACAAUAAUGAUCGCGCGCUUUCAUUUGGCGAUGGCAUUGGUACAGCGCACCAUACAAUGUAUCAUCGACAAAACAUCGAAAAUGGUCUGUAAGAAACAAUGUUUUGGAUGUUACACUCAAGUAAAUAAAAAAUCCAUCGGAUGCUGUA
rnacentral:lncRNA from 1 species